GCCGAAGUGGCGGAAUGGUAGACGCAGCGGACUCAAAAUCCGCCGGCCUUAAAACCGUGUGGGUUCGAGUCCCACCUUCGGCA
rnacentral:tRNA from 2 species